rnacentral:lncRNA from 9 species
UUCUGAGCCACUGGCCAUGGGGAGCCGCAGUCUCCCCCUUCCUCCUUUCUCCUCUCCCUCCCUAACCCCACACCAGACCUCCUUCCCCUCCCCUCCACCCACGGCUGCCAGAGUCCUCACGCCCGGGUUGUACUUCAUGCAGCAUCAUGGAAGAAAAGAGGACGAUAUCUUGUUGCUAAAAGCAGCUGGUGAGUGAAAAGCUGUUAGUUCUUGUAGUUGAAAUCUUUAAAAUGGAAGAAUUGGAAUUUUCUAUCGUCCAUUUGGGGUACCUGCUUAUCAAAGCAGGUAUAACUUGUUUUUGUUUUAUAUGCACUAUUAGGAGUUAAUUUGAAGUCCUGGAGUACUUUUCUGGACGAGAAUCUCUUUAAGUUAUGAAUAGCUUUUCCAGUCUUUUCUUUGUCAAAUUUUCCUUGCUCUCUACAGUUCUCUGCUGUUUUGAAGGAUAGCAUUCACUGGGUGAAAAGCAAAACCUCGAGUUCCCUGAUGGCCUAAGACUUAAGGAUUCAGAGUUGUCACUGCUGUGGCUUGGGUUCGAUCCCAGACCUGGGAAUUUCUGUAUGCUGGGGCAGGUUCGGGGAUGCACUCAAGAAAAAAAAAAAUCAUAAAAAAAGAGCAAAGCCCAUAUUUGAAUUUUACUCCCCACUCCUCCCUAUCUCCACUCAGUCAUAACCAUUUUGUAAGCAGAGGAUCGCCUUACAGUGCUGCCCAGUAUGGUAAUUAGUUAGGCUCGGAGACUUUUAAGCUGCUGUAUUUGGAAUUCUGCUUGCUUUUACAAACUGAGGAAGCUACCUCCUAUUUUCUGACAGGCCAGUGGUGUUGUCAUUAAGAGCAUGGACAUAGAAACAUGUAUCAUUAAUUUUAUGAUUUGAGGCAACUAACCUUUGAGCUCAGUUUCCAAUUUGUAAAAUGAGGAUAAUUCCUUUCACACAGGCUUUUUGUGUGGAUGAAAUAUUUUCUUAGAAUGAUAUCUGGUUCAAAUAUUGUAGCCUCUUUUUCACUAGUUGUAUGAUUGCUAUUAUUUAAGUGCUUUCUGAAAAUAGAGCCAUAGUUUAUUUUUUAUUUUUUGCUUUUUAGGGCUGCACCUAUGGCGUAUAGAAGUUCUCAGGCUAGGGGUUGAAUCGGAGCUGCAGCUGCCAGCCUAUACCACAGCCACAGCAAUGUCAGAUCUGGGCUGCAGACUCUGCAACCUACACCACAGCUCAAGGCAAUGUCAGAUCCUUAACCCACUGAGCGAGGCGAGGGGAUUGAACCUACGUCCUCAUGGAUACUAGUUGGGUUCAUUAUUGCUGAGCCACGAGGGGAACUACUAUUUAAAAUUUUUUAAGGAGUUCCCGUCGUGGCGCAGUGGUUAACAAAUCCGACUAGGAACCAUGAGGUUGUGGGUUCGGUCCCUGCCCUUGCUCAGUGGGUCAAGGUUCCGGCGUUGCCGUGAGCUGUGGUGUAGGUCGCAGACGCGGCUCGGAUCCUGCGUUGCUGUGGCUCUGGUGUAGGUUGGCAGCUACAGCUCCGAUUAGACCCCUAGCCUGGGAACCUUCAUAUGCCGCGGGAGCGGCCCAAGAAAUGGCAAAAAGACAAAAAAAAAAAAAAAAUUUUUUUUAAGCACUCUGACUAAAAUUUUACCUUCAAAAAAUAUGUGUGCCAAGACCUGUUCUGAAUAUUUUAUAGUGGCUUUUAUUAUCAUCCUGUUGUGCAGAUGAGAAAAUAAAUACAGACAGAAAAGUAAUUUGCCCAAGUGUACAGCUGUGAGGCUUACACAGGAAUCCCACCACAGAGGCCUUCGACUUUUUACCUUUAAAAUUUUUCCAUUAGGUAAGACAUUCUCAUGGUUUAAAAAUAAAAUAGGGGGCGUUCCUGUUUCAGCUCAGUGGAAAGGAAUCCGACUAGUGUCCAUGAGGACGCAGGUUUGAUCCCUGGCCCUGCUCAGUAGGUUAAGCAUCUGGCAUUGCUGUGAGCUGUGGUGUUGGUCGCAGAUGAGGCCCCUUGCUGUGGCUGUGGUGUAGACCAGCGGCUACAGCUCUGAUUCAACCGCUAGCCUGGGAACUUCCAUAUGCCGAGGGUGAGGCCACCCCUAAAUUUUUUUUAAUUAAUAAAAAAAAAAAAAAAAAUAGGAAGAUCCCUGAUGGCUCAGUGGGUGAAGGAUCCAUCCGGCAUUGUUGUUGCUGUGGCGCAAGUUUAGUUUCAGGCCAGGGAACUUCUGCAUGCAGCGGGAUGGCCUAAUUAAUUUAUGAAUUAAAAUGAAAGUCUAUGUAAUAAAAAAAUGUACAGUGAAUUAUCUUCCCUCUUCCUCUGAGCCUCUCCCACGCUCAUGAGCUACCACUGUUACUGGCUUCUGAGAUUCCUCCUAGGGUUUCUUUCUGCAAAUACAAAUGUAUGUCUUAUUCCCUCUGCAUUUUCUUUCAUAUGAACUUUUCUCAUUUAUCCCCAUAUCUUCAAAAUCUUUUGCAAUCAGACCCUAGAGAGUGCUCUCCUUUUUUAGAGCUGCAUAGGACUCCAUGGUAGGUAUAUGCCACCAUUUACUUAUAUCCUAUUGAUGCACUGUUUUUUUUUCUGAUCUUUGCCAUCAUAAUUAAGGCAGCAAUGGCCAACCCAGUGGUCUUGGCCAUCCCCUCUUUGCUUUUGUGCAAGGACAGAGGGAGGCAUGCCUGAUGCGGGUAAAUGCUAUUUUCAUGUGUAAUAUUGACAGAUAUUGCCAAGUUGCAGUCCAAAGGGGCUGUGCCAGUUUACGCUCCUCCUGGUAAAAUAAGAGGGCACCUGUAUAAAUCAAGAAUGCUUCAACAAAACUUCUAAAAACUUAAAACUUUAAAAAUUAAAAAAAGAAAAAUAUUACUCUAGGUAAAGAUACUUAUACCCUCACUUAUAUAUUGUACUCUUUGUAUGAAAGCCACAAUGGAGUUCCCGUCGUGGCGCAGUGGUUAACGAAUCCGGCUAGGAACCAUGAGGUUGCGGGUUCGGUCCCUGCCCUUGCUCAGUGGGUUAACGAUCCGGCGUUGCCGUGAGCUGUGGUGUAGGUUGCAGACGCGGCUCGGAUCCCGCGUUGCUGUGGCUCUGGUGUAGGCCGGUGGCUACAGCUCCGAUUCAACCCCUAGCCUGGGAACCUCCAUAUGCCGCGGGAGCAGCCCAAGAAAUAGCAACAACAACAACAAAAAGACAAAAGACAAAAAAAAAAAAAAAAAAAAAGAAAGUCACAAUGAGUAGUCCACACUGAAAGAGUGGGAAUUUAUGGUCUCCCUUAAUGAGGACUGGGUACCUAUGAAAAUGCUUUUAAUUGUUUGCAUGAGAGAUUUAUCUUUUCCCCUUCAUUUUUAUCCAAUUGCUUGUCAUUAGUAAGGACUUCUGAGUAUUAAUUAAACUUAAGUGUUAACAAAAAAUAAAUAAAUAAGUAAAAGAUACCUUUUCAAAUUAAAAAAAAAAAAAAAAAGAGGGCACCUGUUUCCUCACAGCCUUGCCAUGCAUGUGACCCAAUUUAUGGAGUUUUUCUAUUGAUAGAUGAAAAAUGGUGUCUCACAGUAGUUUUAAUCUGCAUCUCUUCUAAUGUGUGGAGUUUCAUAGCCUGUAAUCAUAACAUCUGUAUUAUAUGGUCACCAAGGAUACUAAGGGGCCCUCGUUGAAGAGAAUAAUUGUUAUCCUCCCUUUCUGAUAUUUCAUUUAAAAUACGUGGGCUUGAAGUUCCCUAGUGGCUCAGUGGGUUAAGGAUCCAGCCUUGUCACUGCUGUUCCUCUGUACUGCUGUGGCUCGUGUUCGAUCCCUGGCCCGAGAACUUCCACAUGACUCGAGCAUGGCCAAAAACAUAUUUAAACAUUUUCUUUAAAAAUAAAUAAAUAAAUAAGGAGUUCCCGUCAUGGUGCAGUGGAAACAAUCUGACUAGGAAGCGUGAGGUUGCGGGUUCAAUUGGAUCUGACGUUGCUGUGGCUGUGGUGUAGGCCAGCAGCUACAGCUCUGAUGAGACCCAUAGCCUGGGAACCUCCAUAUGCCACGGGAACGGCCCUGAAAAGACCAAAGACAAAAGACAAAAAAUAAAAAAAAUAAAAAUAAAAUAUGUGAACUUGAUAUUAUUGUUUCUAUUAUUUUGGCCAAAAAAAGAAAGUCAUAGUCCUGGCCAAGAGGAAGGGAACUAAGUCAGGGGCCUAGC